rnacentral:rRNA from 1 species
GAGCGCCGUAGCAAUACGGAGCGGCAGACGGGAGAGUAACACGUGGGAACGUGCCCUUCAGUUCGGAACAACCCCAGGGAAACUUGGGCUAAUACCGGAUACGUCCGUAAGGAGAAAGAUUUAUCGCUGAAGGAUCGGCCCGCGUCUGAUUAGCUAGUUGGUGGGGUAACGGCCCACCAAGGCGACGAUCAGUAGCUGGUCUGAGAGGAUGAUCAGCCUCACUGGGACUGAGACACGGCCCAGACUCCUACGGGAGGCAGCAGUGGGGAAUAUUGGACAAUGGGCGCAAGCCUGAUCCAGCCAUGCCGCGUGGGUGAUGAAGGCCCUAGGGUUGUAAAGCCCUUUCGGCGGGGAAGAUAAUGACGGUACCCGCAGAAGAAGCCCCGGCUAACUUCGUG